rnacentral:rRNA from 1 species
CCUACGGGUGGCAGCAGUGAGGAAUAUUGGUCAAUGGGCGCAAGCCUGAACCAGCCAAGUCGCGUGAGGGAAGACGGUCCUAUGGAUUGUAAACCUCUUUUGUCGGGGAGCAAUUGAGUCCACGUGUAGUCUUCGCGAAAGUACCUGCGGACAAAGCAUCGGCUAACUCCGUGCCAGCAGCAGCGUUAAUACGGAGGAUGCGAGCGUUCUCCGGAUUUAUUGGGUUUAAGGGGUGCGUCGGCGGACUAUCAGGUCAGCGGUAAACAUUCGGGGCUAAACCCCGUCGUGCCGUUGAAACUGAUGGUCUUGAGUGGGGGAGAAGUAGGCGGAAUGCGUGGUGUAGCGGUGAAAUGCAUAGAUAUCACGCAGAACUCCGAUUGCGAAGGCAGCAUACCGGAGCAUAACUGACGCUGAAGCACGAAAGCGUGGGGAGCGAACAGGAUUAGAUACCCUUGUAGUC